rnacentral:misc_RNA from 1 species
AGCAGCCGCGGUAAUUCCAGCUCCAAUAGCGUAUAUUAAAGUUGUUGCAGUUAAAAGCUCGUAGUUGAAUUUCGAGAUCAAAUUGUUGGUCGUGCCUUGGUACGCACUGGCAUUAUUGGUUUCUCCCUUCUGACGAACCAUGAUGUCAUUAAUUUGGUGUCUUGGGGAAUCAGGACUGUUACUUUGAAAAAUUAGAGUGUUUAAAGCAGGCUUACGCUUGAAUACAUUAGCAUGGAAUAAUGAAAUAGGACGUUUGAUUCUAUUUUGUUGGUUUCUAGGAUCGACGUAAUGAUUAAUAGGGAUAGUUGGGGGCAUUAGUAUUCAAUUGUCAGAGGUGAAAUUCUUGGAUUUAUUGAAGACUAACUACUGCGAAAGCACUUGCCAAGGAUGUUUUCAUUAAUCAAGAACGAAAGUUAGGGGAAUCGAAGACGAUCAGAUACCGUCGUAGUCUUAACCAUAAACUAUGCCGACUAGGGAUCGGAUGAUGUUUAAUUUUUAAUGUACUCAUUCGGUACCG